rnacentral:antisense_RNA from 1 species
AGACAAAAUAUUAGACACUAGACACAGACAAUUAAAAUUCAUGCUCCUCACAUUAGUUCUAAAUAAUAGUGUGUCCUCAGAAUAAAAUACCCAUGUAACGGUGAUUGAGAUGACUCUGGUUCCGUAGAAGUAACUGACCUAAGAUCAGAACUUUUAAAAUGAAACACCUUUUACCAAUAUCAUUCAAAGAUACACCUUGACGCCCACUUCCUCUCCUUCUCUAGUAUCCCCAAUGAUAAAGUAUCAAGAUCUUGUCAUUGUCCUUUCUCCGUGCAGGUCUGGAAUACCAAAAUUCAACACACUAAGUCAAAUGCCAACAUCUUGCAAGUCCCACAUACAGGUGCAUUCUCAUACUACUUGUUGAGCCAAUUCAGAUCUUCCCAAACUACACUACAAAGAUUCCAUUACAUGUGCAGUGAAGAGCUAGUCCAAGCCCUAACUGAAUCCUUUAUGAGUGAACAUUAACGUCUUCUUCUGUCAUUAUAAAUUUCUGUUCACACUUGAAUCCCAACAGAAAGCUGCCGGAAGCGACUGGCUGGGGUUCCCAUUUCAGUUUUCCUGUUGUGUACAGGUGUAAGACCAUCGUAUUACAGUGUUAAGAAAUUUUAAUUUUUCCGGCAACAUGCAGCCGACCCGUUCCAAAGAAUUCCCUGAACUCCGCGGCUGACAACUAACUCCCUUAACUCACUUCCAACCCCUACAGGGAGUCUGGAAAGAUUAGUCACCUCCUCUAGCCAGGCGGUCCCGCUCCAACACCUCACUCUUACACCCUACACAGAGCAGAUGAGCGUCUCGGCCACCUCCACAAACCAAAUGCCAAUCUGAGGUGUGUGUCACCCCUGAAUUUCCCAUAUUCUGAAAGAGACCCUCCUCUUAGUGGAGCUUUCUGCCGUGGGGCUGAGGAGUAGCAGCUCCCAGCGUCCCGUGGAAGGAAACUCCCAGAGAAGAGCAAGCGCUCGCGCUCCCACCCGGAGCAGGCUGUGCUGAUUACAACGGCGGGAAAUGCCUGUCCAGAGCUGGUUUCGCCAAGGCCUUUCAAGUAGAGACUCUAGGACCAGUCCGUGACAAGCACGCCGGCCGGCACUGCUCCGGGUCCCAGACCAGCUCGUGCGGGCCAGAGCCGGGGACACGGCUAGGGAGGGAUGGGGGCCCGGCUCGGCCCACUCUCCCACCCUACGCUGAGCCCCCCGUGAGUCAGCAGCCGGCGAGGGGACCCGGGGAUUGCCUCAAGCCCUCCCACAAGAGUGAGACCUGGGAGGCUCUGGGGAGCUCCGAGCGGCCUGCGCCCCCGGCCCGGCCCCCCUCACACACACAGUGAGUCAGCAGCAUCAGAGCCGGCUAGCCCGGCCCCUCUCCGCUGCCGCCGACCGACAUAAGCGGAGCUGGGCCGGCGGGGCCGGGGAGGCGGCGCGGCGACCUUUACCGAUGGAGUGGAGGAUGUCGAUGGAGGCCUCCCGGUCGGUGCUGAGUAGAGACUGGGCUCUCUGGAACUCCACCACCGCCGCCGCCGCCAUCUUACCGCUCUCACACCGUCCCCGGCCGCGGCCGCCGACGCCGGAAACACACACCCGGAAAGCCCGCCCUCGGGUCCCUCCGCCUGUAGCUCCCGCGGCUCCGUUGCCAGAGCACUCCGGGAGUUGUAGUCUCUCCGCCGGGCGCUGUAGUCUCUCCGCCGGGCGCGGGCUGAGGGGUGGGGAGAGCGGGACCGCCUCGCAGGUGGGCUGCAAGCUCCCCAGCGCCUCCUAGCGGGCAGCCGGCGAGGAAAGAGGCGGUGCCCCGCAGUGGGAGCUCUAGAUCGGUCCCCGCCCACCCCAAAAGAGGCUUCUUGAUUCCGGCCCCGCUCGCGCACCCCUGAGAGGGGUUCCUGAGUACCGGGCUAGGUAUUGAGUCAAAGCUGCGUGGCUUUCUUUGCGGCUUCCACGAUUUAACCAUUCAUUCGGGACGAUAAGUGACCUUAUAAAGUGCUCGCUAUGUGGCAAAGAAGAGCACCAUUCAAAUGCGUUCCAGUGUCUGACGCCUGUGCGCCGCACACACGCUUUCCAGGCUUGACUCCCGCAGAACGCUGGCCAGCAGGUGGGCAAACCCGCCAGGACCGGAGAAAACUGUCCUCACGCGCCCAUUUAACCUUGGGACAGUGCUGGACGUGAUGAAGUGAAACAUCACCUUUGCUCCAUUCACGCCACAAAUACCUCUUGGGAAUCCACAGAAGCCUCACCCAGCUCCCCAGCUCAAAGAAGAAAAAAAAAAAAAAAAGGAAGGAAGGGAGGGAGGGAGGGACGGAGGAAGGAAAAAAUUGAAUUAUUCUUCCCAAUAUCUUCAGCCCCUUCAACUAAAGUCACAGAUAUCAGUGAAGACGUCGUGUGGACGGAAAAAUGACAUUCUAUGAGACCACUUAGGGUUAAACUUAAGAAAGGUGCUAAAAGGAUACAAAGACAAUUCAGUAUUAAGGAAGACCUUUCUCUAGGUGAUGACGAUCCAAAAAUGGAAUGUGCUGUCCCAUAAAAGGCCGCAAAAAGGGGACUAACAUUGCACACCCUCCUCUGAGACGGUGUUCGUUCUUGUUGCCUGGGCUGGAGUGCAAUGGCGUGAUCUCGGCUCACCUCAACCUCCGCCUCCCAGGUUCAAGCAAUUCUCCUGCUUCAGCCUCCCGAGUGCCUGGGAUCACAGGCGCCCACCACCACACCCGACUGAUUUUGUAUUUUUAAUAGAGACGGGGUUACUCCAUGUUGGUCAGGCUGGUCUUAAACUCCCAACCUCAGGUGAUCCACCCACCUCGGCCUCCCAAAGUGCUGGGAUUACAGGCAUCAGCCACUGCCCACAGCCCAACAGACAGGGUCCUGGUCUGUCACACAAGCUGGAAUGCAGUGUGUGGUGGUGCGUUCUUGGCUCACUGCAACUUCCAACUCCCAGGCUCAAGCGAUCCUCCCACCUCAGCCUCCCAAGUAGCUGUGACUGCAGGUAUGCACCAUCACACUCAGCUAAUUUUUUUGAUUUAUUUUUUGUUAUAGAGGCUGUUUCUCCCAGUGUUGCCCAAGCUGGCCUCAAAGUCCUGAGCUCAAGCAAUCCUCUCACCUCAGCCUCCCAAAGUGGAAGCACGAGCCACCACACCCAGCUGAUCUUCACUUCUUUUUCUUUUUUUUUUUCCUGGGUUCACGCCAUUAUCCUGCCUCAG